AAGUCGUAACAAGGUUUCCGUAGGUGAACCUGCGGAAGGAUCAUUAACGAAUUCGAAACAAAGCGCCCGGCGGCUGAUGCUGGCCCCUCGGGGGCAUGUGCACGCCUCGGGCGCCUUCAAUUCGCUUCGAACCCCCCCCUUGUGCACUCCGCGUAGGUCGUCGGUGGGCGGUCCCCCUCCGCCUUUUCGCGCCUACGAAUUUUUGUCCACACGCCCCGAUCGCAUGUUAUAUGAGCAGCAGCAGCCUCUUUAUGUGAAUAACACAAAACACAACUUUCAACAACGGAUCUCUUGGCUCUC
rnacentral:misc_RNA from 1 species